rnacentral:lncRNA from 1 species
AACGAUUGUGUCUAUUGCAAAAGAAUUCUAUAUGCCAAUGCGAAGGAGUUACAACACCAUGUGGUUCAAGUGCUAGGAAAAGUUGUGUCGUUUGACAAAACAAACAUUAAUGCGUAUUAUAGCCUAAAGGAUAUGGAGGACGAUGACGAGCUUUCAGACUAUAUUCAAGAGGACCUUGAAUGGGAUGCAUGUGCAGGCCUGGGCAGAGUGGACAUUAAAAGGGACUGAGGAGCUGCAUUUUUCUCAUAAUGAGCUGAGCCGAUAUAGAAAGUAUUGGUACUACUUCCUAUGUGCCAAGCUCAUGCCGACGUCACAUGUUAGCGAUCAAGGUCAUCAAGG